GACGAACGCUGGCGGCGUGCUUAACACAUGCAAGUCGAACGGAAAGGCCCUGCUUGCAGGGUCCUCGAGUGGCGAACGGGUGAGUAACACGUGGGUGAUCUGCCCUGCACUUCGGGAUAAGCCUGGGAAACUGGGUCUAAUACCGGAUAGGAGCCAUUAUUAGUGUGAUGGUUGGAAAGUUUUUUCGGUGUAGGGUGAGCUCGCGGCCUAUCAGCUUGUUGGUGGGGUAAUGGCCUACCAAGGCGGCGACGGGUAGCCGGCCUGAGAGGGUGGACGGCCACAUUGGGACUGAGAGACGGCCCAGACUCCUACGGGAGGCAGCAGGGGGGAAUAUUGCACAAUGGGCGCAAGCCUGAUGCAGCGACGCCGCGUGGGGGAUGACGGCCUUCGGGUUGUAAACUCCUUGCGCUAGGGACGAAGCUUUUUGUGACGGUACCUAGAGAAGAAGCACCGGCUAACUACGUG
rnacentral:rRNA from 1 species